AGGUACACAAAUAAGUUAAAUUGUCAUAGGUAAGUGAGAGAGAAAUGAGUCAUCUUUAUAUAAAUACAUGAAAAUCACAUGGAUCGUAAUUUAAAGCUAUAAGACAUGCCAAUGGUUUUAUCAAGUAAAAACCAAGUUAUUAUGUCAUGUUGAACCAACAUCCUGCAAGCAUAAAAGUGUGAUAUUUAAACGUGCAAAAACCACCUGUAUCAGCUUCAACAUCAUCAUGCAAGCAUAAAAGUGACCUCUAUUAAACCGACAUAAUUGAAGUUCAAGAAUUAAAAAUAAAAAUAGAAAAUGUAGAAGUAUCAUGGAAUGCUAGAGAAUGUUAUUGAAUUAUGAAUCGCAGCAAACCUUUAUUACCAGACUGGACUUUUUUUUUUUUCAUUUUUGGUCUUCUUCCACAUAAAAUUUGGUAUCUUAAAUAAACAAUAGAAUGAAAGUAAGUUCCCAUUUUUAUACCAAAUAUAAUCUAUUAUUAAACUUAGUUAUGUUUCAGUCGAUAAAUGUAAGUAAAUUGCUAUUAUUGGCAAACAGAUAUAGGUAUCAAGCUUUUAAUAUUAUUUUGAAAAUUAAGUUAUAACGGGACUAUGAAUUCUAUUUAAAAAAUAUAAUUUUAUACGCAAAGAUACACACAAUACAACACACAACACAACAUGCAUACACACAGUCAAAUACCUUUUUUUUUUGCAUUUACAUCAAAGUAUUUUCCAUGAUGAAUGGUUUUAUCUCUUUAUUUAGUUUUGGGAUUCCCUGACCGAAAAAUGCAAGGAACAACAUUUCAACCCUUGUUCUUUCUAACAAACACACCAACAUACCUCUUUAUUUAAUAGCUUUUAAACCCCUGCGCUUAUUAACAUAGAAAUAAAACUCUAUUUAAUAGCUUUUCAACCAUUGUGCUUACUAAGGAAAAGAUAUAAUAUUACUUUGUAGACUUGCUUUGUGUUCUCAUCAUUUUUUGAAGUAACCAAGAGUAAAAUGUUGCUCCCAAAUCACUAUUUCUCCACAGGCAUUGGUAAAUUACCUUUUGGGUCUUGAAGCAUAUUGGCAUGUCUAGAUUUAUCCCCUUAAUGUGGACUAUCAUCCUACAUCAACCAGAGCUGAAAAGCACUUGAGCAUUAAAAACUUUCAUUCCAGAUGAUGUUUGAGAGUAUAUUUCAUUAAUAGAACGGUUUCAUUCAUCUCUCACAAAAAAAUCAACAAAAUGAUCAAAAAGUAGGUUACCUCAAUCAGUUUGUCAAUAUCAAACAUGGGUGCUUUAUAAUAUUAUAUUUGAGAAUGAAAAUGUAUACCCAUAAAUCUGUAGUUCGAAUCCAAGAUACCUGCAAAAAUUAAUGGUAUAUAUAUAUAUAUAUAUAUAUAUANGAGAGAGAGAGAGAGAGAGAGAGAGAGAGAGAGACCGAGGUUGAGGCUUCAACCGGCUCCUUUCAAUUCGGCAUCAAAUGUGACAAAACAGGUUAAUCAAAGAUGCUUUGUUAGAAAGCUUAAAUUAGGAAAUCACCUUCAAGUCCUUUAACUUAAGACUUGUGAUAGUGGCAGUCGAUGGUGGAAAUAACAAAGGUGAGUGGUUUAUGUUUGUGUACAAACAAAAAUAACAACUUUGAAUGGGUUCUUCAUAUCAAGAAAAUCAUCAGAAAAAGUAAUAACAAAGUAGUUGUUAUUAGUUGGUAGAUAACUAAACAAAUCAACAUUCUUCUUUUCUAACUUGUGAAUAUUUAAACAACAAAUGUCACAAUCCUUUCUUAGGCGUAUUAUACGCAUUAUCAACAUGGAGCAUAACUUCUACCUACUGACACAUAUAAAAGUAAUUUAAUUUAAUGAAAUUAUCAAGGGGAAUUAACUUAAUACUAAAAAACAUGAGAUACAACAGUAGAAUAAGGGACAUACAUUUUUGUGUAAGAAGCAUGUUCAUCCGUUACCUGGAAACCUCAUUAAGGAGGAAGCAUAAAAACCCUUGUGAUCUCGCCCCUCUUAAUCUGUCAUGACAUUUGGAGGCAAAAGUUCACAUAGUUCAAGAAGAUAUCUUUCGAUCAUAAAUACAAACCUGGGAAACAAAAAAAAGAUUAGAGAGAGAGAGAGAGCCUAAGGAAUCCCUCACGCAGAUGUCAUAACAAAAAAUAAAGAGAUAAAUCACAACUGAGAGAUAGAUGAUGGUGAGAUGAAGAUCUAUGGUUGAAUCCAACACCUAGGUAAACACAUCUCAUUCCAUUGUCGCCUGCAUAUCAAACUUCUCUCCAUUAAUAGGAAAAUGAAGACGAAGAGAAAGAAAGAUCUGAAAAAAAGGAUAGAAAAAAGAAGAAAACAAUAAACAUGUCAAGUUACAAACCCAAAAAAUUAAAGCCCCAAAUCCGAUUUCUAUUGUAAUCAGCUUUGGAUCUUCAAAAUUCGAAAGAAUCAGUAUCUUCAAAAUUAUUUUUACAGAAUAGUUAUUCAGAAAGGAAUUAAAAAAAUUAAAGAAACCAAUAUAGGUUUUACUUGUUAUGCAGUUAUCAACAUCAAGCCCCAUCUUGAAAAUAACAUGAAGAGAUAAAAAAAGACUACGAUUUUGAUUUGCUUAGACCUUUUUCUUUCUUUCUUCAGUGACAGGAUGGUGUAGUUUUUGUUCACUGAGUGUGUCAUCGUGAAGGCAGGCGACAGUGAGGGAAGCAUCAGGUCAGCAGUUCAAUGGAAGUGGUAAACGGUGGAGAGGACAAAUAGUAGAUAACCGAUUAAGGUUCCGGUGAAAGACUAAGGCGGAGAAGGGGGGAUCCUUUUGGAGAGAGCGUGAUAGGGUUUCGAGAGGUGACAGUCGGAGGAGAGAAUGCUCUGUGUUUUCCCUCUUAUAAAUUAAUUAACUUCAAAUAAGAGAGAUGUGGUGACGGGUCCGAGAUAUACGGGAAGGGGGCGAGAAAUAAGUGGAACUUUCAAU
rnacentral:lncRNA from 1 species